rnacentral:rRNA from 1 species
CCUACGGGUGGCAGCAGUGGGGAAUAUUGGGCCAUGGAGGAGACUCUGACCCAGCAAAGCCGCGUGAAUGAUGAAGGUCUUCGGAUUGUAAAGUUCUUUUCUAAGGGAAGAAGAAAGUGACGGUACCUUAGGACUAAGCCUCGGCUAACUACGUGCCAGCAGCCGCGGUAAUACGUAGGCGGCAAUCGUUAUCCGGAAUGACUGGGCGUAAAGGGUGAGUAGGUGGUUUGACAAGUUGGUAGCGUAAAUCCGGGGCUCCACCGCGGCACUACUACCAAAACUUGUGGACUUGAGUGCAGGAGAGGCAAAUGGAAUUCCUAGUGUAGCGGUGGAAGGCGUAGAUAUUAGGAAGAACACCAGUGGCGAAGGCGAUUUGCUGGACUGUAACUGACACUGAGGCACGAAAGCGUGGGGAGCAAACAGGAUUAGAUACCCCAGUAGUC